AAGUCGUAACAAGGUUUCCGUAGGUGAACCUGCGGAAGGAUCAUUAACGAAUCAAACAAGUUCAUCUUGUUCUGAUCCUGUGCACCUUAUGUAGUCCCAAAGUCUUCACGGGCGGCGGUUGACUACGUCUACCUCGCACCUUAAAGUAUGUUAACGAAUGUAAUCAUGGUCUUGACAGACCCUAAAAGUUAAUACAA
rnacentral:misc_RNA from 1 species